rnacentral:rRNA from 1 species
GCAUAUCAAUAAGCGGAGGAAAAGAAACCAACAGGGAUUGCCUCAGUAACGGCGAGUGAAGCGGCAAAAGCUCAAAUUUGAAAUCUGGCUCUUUUAGGGUCCGAGUUGUAAUUUGUAGAAGAUGUUUCGGGUGUGGCUCCGGUUUAAGUUCUUUGGAAUAUUACAUCAUAGAGGGUGAGAAUCCCGUAUGUGACCGGCAGCCUUCGCCUAUGUGAAACUCUUUCGACGAGUCGAGUUGUUUGGGAAUGCAGCUCAAAAUGGGAGGUAUAUUUCUUCUAAAGCUAAAUAUUGGCCAGAGACCGAUAGCGCACAAGUAGAGUGAUCGAAAGAUGAAAAGCACUUUGGAAAGAGAGUUAAACAGUACGUGAAAUUGUUGAAAGGGAAGCGUUUGCAACCAGACUUGCACGCAGUUGAUCAUCCGGUGUUCUCACCGGGGCACUCUGCUGCGUUCAGGCCAGCAUCGGUUUUGGUGGUUGGAUAAAGGCCUUGGGAAUGUGGCUUCCUUCGGGGAGUGUUAUAGCCCUCGGUGCAAUGCAGCCUACCGGGACCGAGGACCGCGCUUCGGCUAGGAUGCUGGCGUAAUGGUUGUAAACGACCCGUCUUGAAACACGGACCAAGGAGUCUAACAUCUAUGCGAGUGUUUGGGUGUUAAACCCAUACGCGUAAUGAAAGUGAACGGAGGUGAGAACCCUUAAGGGUGCAUCAUCGACCGGUCCUGAUGUCUUCGGAUGGAUCUGAGUAAGAGCAUAGCUGUUGGGACCCGAAAGAUGGUGAACUAUGCGUGAAUAGGGUGAAGCCAGAGGAAACUCUGGUGGAGGCUCGCAGCGGUUUCUGACGUGCAAAUCGAUCGUCAAAUUUGCGCAUAGGGGGCGAAAGACUUAUCGAACCAUCUAGUAGCUGGUUCCCUGCCGAAG